UACGUAGGGUGCGAGCGUUAAUCGGAAUUACUGGGCGUAAAGCGUGCGCAGGCGGUUAUGUAAGACAGUUGUGAAAUCCCCGGGCUCAACCUGGGAAUUGCAUCUGUGACUGCAUCGCUAGAGUACGGUAGAGGGGGAUGGAAUUCCGCGUGUAGCAGUGAAAUGCGUAGAUAUGCGGAGGAACACCGAUGGCGAAGGCAAUCCCCUGGACCUGUACUGACGCUCAUGCACGAAAGCGUGGGGAGCAAACAGG
rnacentral:rRNA from 1 species